CAGAAAGUAACCAGAAAACUGAUGGAUAUUCCAUCCAAUCACCAUGCUUGUUUAUACAGUGAUACCAAGAGAUCCUUGAGAGUUACGCAUACAUUGAGAUGUUGGGUUGCAGCGCUUCUCCUAGCAACAAAAGUGAAAUCAGCGAGCAAGUAUCUUUCUCCCUCUUUGUAGGGUGUGAACGUUACAGGGAUUGUGAUGGUGCCUUUUGCUUUUACAGAGCCGCCUCUAAGGAAUGAAAGAGAAGAUAUAUUACAAUUGCAUGGCAGACAAUAAUUUAGCAGGAAACAAUUCUGAUUUUAUAUGGAUCUGUACUUUUGUAAACUAAAGAGGUCAGACAAAUACAACUUCAUACAGGAGAACGAAAUCAAACACAAACAUGUAUGUAAUAACGUAUUUAACUAUUUGACAUUUGUAGGUGCUGUUCUUGGCAGCCAGUAGCUGUUACCCCACUGGAUGGCUCUCAGUUUGUAGAAUUCAGCCAUGGGAUAAUAUGAAAAUGUAUUUUUUAAAUAAAAACUCUAAAGUUUAA